UAUCAGUCACUCAGCUUCAAGCCCAUCAGUUAAGCCCAACUUGAAGCCCAUAAGUCAGUAAGAGACAAAAGCUUCUCAACGGUCUUCUUCUUCAACCUGCAAACAAGACAAAAUCAAUUGUACAUGUUGGGUAAGCUUUGAUAGCUUGAAGCUCAAGAUAUCCUUUAUCAAGUUGGAUAAGGAUAAGACAAGCUUAAGAUAAACCUAGUAGUCUUAGGAGUUAUCUAUAACUAUUAGAAAAAGGAAAUCUACUCUAAUAUAUAUAUACAUACCGAGUUGUGGUAUUGAUAUAACGAUAGAGGAGUGUUUUAGUUUUUGAGCAUAUUUUCUAAGGCAUUCAAUAAAGAGAGCAAGUUCUUUAUAAUCGUGUGUGUGUUCGAGCUACUUUAUUUGGUAUCAGAGCGUUAGGUUACAAUCAUGGGAGACGACAACACCAUUAUACGCACUAAGGAAUUCACACCACCAACAAUCCAAUGCCCCAUACUGAACGCUACAAACUAUACGGUAUGGAGCAUGAGGAUGAAAGUCUUAUUGAAGAUCUAUAAGGUUUGGGAAACCAUCGAACCUGGUAUGGAGGAUAUAGACAAGAACAAUAUCGCAAUUGGCUUAUUGUUUCAAGCAAUCCCGGAGUCUAUGAUACUGCAAGUUGGCGAGCAAGAGACUUCCAAAGGGAUAUGGGACGCGGUCAAAGCACGCAACGUAGGAGCUGAUCGUGUCAAAGAAGCACGUCUACAAACCCUCAUGACUGAGUUCGACAGGAUCAAGAUGAAAGAUUCAGACACAAUAGAUAGCUUCUCGGGGAAGUUAUCAGAGAUGGCGUCUAAAUCAGCGGCACUUGGAAAGAUCAUUGAAGAAAAUAUUCUAGUGAAGAAAUUCUUAAAUAGUCUACCAAGGAGCAAGUACAUACAGAUCACAGCAUCUCUCGAGCAAGUUUUGGAUUUAAAUACUACUCCGUUUGAAGAUAUAAUCGGGAGAUUGAAAGCUUAUGAAGAAAGAAUUCUUGAUGACGAUCAAGAUACACAAGGAAAGCUCUUAUAUUCAGAUUCAUAUCAAAACAAUGGAGCUCGAGGAAGAGGCCGUGGUCGUGGAGGAAGAGGAUACAGAGGACGAGGAAGGGGCAGAGGAAACUCACAAGACACAACAAAUAAUCAAACUCAAAGUCAAGAAAAGGAGAAGAAGGACAGAUCAAAGAUUGUUUGUUUCCGAUGUGAUAAGAAUGGCCACUUUGCAUCCGUAUGUCCUGAGAGACUCCAAAAGAUACAAGAGGCAAACAAAGUGGAGACAGAAGAAGCUGAUCCAUCCCUUUACAUGCACGAGAUUGUAUUUUUAAACGAAGAAAACUUGGUGCCAAAGAAAUACGAAACCAAGAAAGGAGAAGAAGAUAUUUGGUACUUAGACAACGGAGCCAGUAAUCAUAUGACAGGGAAUGUGUCAUAUUUUUCAGAACUUAAUCGCAAUAUCAAAGGCAAAGUGAAAUUUGGAGAUGAUUCGCAUGUCAACAUAGAAGGCAAAGGAUCAAUCAUAUUUCAAGGAAAAACCGGAGAACAAAAGCUAGUUACAAACAUAUACUACAUUCCUGAUCUCAAGAGCAACAUCCUAAGUCUAGGACAAGCUACGGAAGUGGGAUGCGACGUAAGGAUGAGACUAGACUACCUAACGGUACACGAUCCAAACGGGAGAUUAUUGGUUAAAGUAACCAGAUCACUAAACAGAUUGUACAAGAUAAAACUCAAGAUCGGCAAGCCUAUGUGCCUAAAUCUAAAGCUAGAAGAUGAAACGUGGAAGUGGCAUGCAAGGUUAGGACAUGUAAGCUUUAAAACAAUAAAGUUGAUGUCCCAACAAGAGAUGGUGCAAGGUUUACCUAAGAUAGAAGACGAGAAAAGACUUUGCGAGUCUUGCUUGGUGGGCAAGCAAACUCGACAAACCUUCCCAAAAUCAGCUACAUUCCGAGCUUCAAAACCAUUGGAACUACUACAUGCUGAUCUGUGUGGCCCUAUUACGCCAUCUACCAUCGCAAAUAACAAAUACAUAUUUGUGAUAAUAGACGACUUCUCGAGAUACAUGUGGUCUAUCUUGAUGAAAGAAAAGAGCGAUGCAUUCAGUAGAUUCAAGGCGUUUAAAGAGCUAGUGGAGAGAGAUCUAAACACAAGAAUCAUGACUCUAAGAACUGAUCGAGGAGGUGAGUUCACGUCAUUAGAGUUCAAAGAUUUCUGCGACAACAACGGCAUCAAAAGACACCUUACGGCACCAUACACACCACAGCAAAACGGUGUGGUGGAAAGGAGGAACAGGACGUUGAUGGAGAUGACACGGAGCAUCCUUAAGGCAAUGAAGGUACCAAACUACCUAUGGGGCGAAGCAGUUCGACAUUCAACCUAUAUUAUCAACAGAGUACCAACGAGAGCUCUUAAGAACAUGACGCCAUACGAAAGCUUGCGGAUAAAGAAACCAAACCUAAACCAUAUAAGGGUUUUCGGUUGCUUAGCAUAUGCAAAGAUAGACAGUGCAAUGCUCAAGAAGCUAGACGACAGAUCGUUGGUUUUGGUUCAUCUUGGAACAGAGCCAGGAUCCAAAGCUUAUAGGCUUUACAAUCCGGAAACACGAAGAAUUGUAGUAAACCGUGAUGUCGUGUUUGAUGAAAAGAAAGGCUGGAAUUGGAAUAAAGACACUGGGGCAACGCGAGAUCCAGGCAUGUUCCAGAUGAAGUGGGGAGAAGUCAUUGAUGCAGGACAAGGACCGGUUGUGAUCAACGAUGGUGAAGAUCAACAACAAGAGAACAACGAUCAGCACAAUGAACAAAACGAAGAUCAAGAGAACGAUAUUGAUCAAGAUGUUCAACCUCAACCUCAACAACAACCAACACGGCAAUCAACACGACAAAGCAACAAACCUCGGUACCUAGAUGAUUAUGUUCUACAAGCAGAACUAGACAUCGAGAGUCUUCUUCUGUCCAUAAACGACGAACCAAGGACCUACCGAGAAGCAAAAGGGUGGUCAAAGUGGACUGAUGCUUGUGGAGAAGAAAUAGACUCAAUCAACAAGAACAAGACAUGGUAUCUUGUUGAUAGACCGAUAGGAGCUAAGGUAAUUGGUCUCAAGUGGAUUUUCAAAAUCAAAAGGAAUGCUGAUGGUACUAUCAAGAAGUUUAAAGCUAGGCUUGUAGCUAAAGGGUACGUACAAGAAUCAGGCCUCGACUACGAUGAAGUUUUCGCACCGGUUGCAAGACUUGAAACCAUAAGACUUCUAAGUGCUCUAGCAGCGUCACACGGGUGGCAAAUCCAUCACUUAGACGUCAAGACAGCUUUCCUAUACGGUGAGCUAAAGGAAGAUGUGUACGUUGAACAGCCUGAAGGUUUUGAAACUAAAGGCAAGGAGAAGAAGGUCUACAAGUUAUCAAAAGCUUUAUAUGGGUUAAAACAAGCUCCACGAGCUUGGAAUACUAAGCUAGAUCAAGUGCUAAAAGGAAUGAAGUUCACUCGAUGCUCAAAGGAGAAUGCCGUGUACCGCAAAGAACAAAAGGAUGCGAUCCUUAUCGUUGCGAUAUACGUAGACGAUCUUUUUAUAACCGGAAACAGCAUCAAUACUAUAAAUGAGUUCAAGAAAGGGAUGUCAUCGAAGUUUGAGAUGUCUGACCUAGGGAAGCUCACCUAUUAUCUUGGGAUAGAAGUUCAUCAAGGUAAUGAUGGAAUAGAACUUAAGCAAGAAGCAUACGCAAGAAAGGUUCUACAAGAAGUCGGCUUAGAAACAUGUAAUGCGACCAAGAUACCAAUGGAGUUUGGUCUGAAGGUUUCAAAAGCUGAAGAAGAAGAAGAGAUAGACGCAACGAAAUACAGAAGAAACGUGGGAUGUUUACGAUAUUUACUUCACACACGACCGGACCUUGCGUUCUCAGUCAGUGUGGCUAGUCGUUACAUGCAAAGGCCUCGAAAGUCACAUGGCGACAUCAUGAAGCAAAUUAUGAGAUAUCUACAAGGAACUUCUGCAUAUGGGCUAAAAUACAAACGAGAAGGGACAAAGAAACUGACUGGCUAUAGUGAUAGCAGUCACAACAUAGACCAAGACGAUGGAAGAAGCACCACGGGUCACAUGUUUUACUUUGGAACCUCACCGAUCACUUGGUGUUCACAGAAACAGAACACAGUUGCACUCUCAUCGUGCGAGGCAGAGUUUAUGGCCGCAACUGAAGCAGCACGCCAGGCCAUAUGGCUCCAAGACCUUCUAAGCGAGAUCACGGGCUGGAAGGUAGAAAGAGUCCUUAUCAAGAUUGAUAACAAGUCGGCUAUAGAGCUUACCAAGAACCCUGUUUUUCACGGCAAGAGCAAGCACAUACAUAAACGGUACCAUUUCAUUCGAGAAUGCAUUGAGAGAGAGCUCGUCGACGUCGAGCAUGUACCAGGAACAUUACAAAAGGCCGACAUCCUCACGAAAGCUUUGGCAAGAAUCAUGUUCGUUGAGAUGAGAGACUUGAUAGGAGUUCAAGACUUGUCUAAGAAGGAUUCAAAGCUCAAGAAGGAGAAUGUUGGGUAAGCUUUGAUAGCUUGAAGCUCAAGAUAUCCUUUAUCAAGUUGGAUAAGGAUAAGACAAGCUUAAGAUAAACCUAGUAGUCUUAGGAGUUAUCUAUAACUAUUAGAAAAAGGAAAUCUACUCUAAUAUAUAUAUACAUACCGAGUUGUGGUAUUGAUAUAACGAUAGAGGAGUGUUUUAGUUUUUGAGCAUAUUUUCUAAGGCAUUCAAUAAAGAGAGCAAGUUCUUUAUAAUCGUGUGUGUGUUCGAGCUACUUUAGUACACAGGCAGCUCAGCUAAAGCAAAAGGAAAAGCACAGCACAGCUGGCAAACCACAGCCUGUCUCUAACAAGAAUCGAUUUGAAGCACUCCAAGACAAUGAAGACCAAGGAAGAAAACCCUAGACUUUUCUAUCUAUAAAUAUGUUAUCAAGUUGUAAUAACAAUCUAAGAAAGCAAUAACAAAGAGCAAAAGACUCACCUUUCUUUCAUAUCUCUGUCUACUUUCAUGGUAUCAGAGCUCUUGGUAGCUCGAUCAUGGAUUUAGAACCUUAU
rnacentral:lncRNA from 1 species